rfam:Byssochlamys spectabilis No. 5 DNA, contig: PVAR5_00108_1.
GGCAAGAUGGCCGAGUUGGUCCAAGGCGUCAGGUUAAGGUUCACCUUAAUAACAACUUCUAAGUUCCUGAUCUGUGUAUGCAGGCGUGGGUUCGAAUCCCACUCUUGUCA